rnacentral:lncRNA from 1 species
CUGUUUACACCAAGAAUAUAUUUCAUAAAUUUGGUUUGAGCUUUUUCAGAAGAAUCCUGACCAAAAGCUUGUUCCUAUAGAACGUUCUAUACUAUAGUAGAUAUAUAUAUAUAUAAUAUUCAGACAACAAGGGAUCCUGUAGACUGCCCAGGGGGAUCCUGUAGAACGUCCUUUAGUGUAUACAUGAUAAACAAACAAUAUAAGGGAUCCUAUAGAACGUUUUGUAGUAGAUAUAUAAGGUUCAGACAACAGGGGAUCAUGUAGAACGAC